rnacentral:lncRNA from 11 species
UCCCUCCUUCUUCUCUUCCUUCCCUCCUUCUUUCCUUCCUUCCCUCCUUCUUCUCUUCCUUCCCUCCUUCUUUCCUUCCUUCCCUUCUUUCUUUCCUUCCCUCCUUCUUCUCUUCCUUCAUUCUUUCCUUUAUUCCCUCCCUCUUUCCCUUUUCCCUACCUCCAUCCUUUCCUUCAUUCUCUCCUUUUCUUCCCUCUCUCUCAAUUCCCUCCUUCCUUCCUCCCUCUUCCCCUUUCCUUCCUUCCCUUCUUUCUUUCCGUCCAUUUCCUUCCUUCCUUAUUUAGUUCUCUCGUAUAGAUGAGUUUUAGGGGGAAAGAAGAAACCCAGCCCUUCUUUAAUAGCCGAAGAGAGAGGAGGGGAGGCACUGUCACUUUAUGGUCUUUCUUGUCUCUCCCUUCCUUUCAGGUGUUUUCCAACUUCUGCCGAUUCCUCUCUGGGACAGACAGGCUCACUUUACACGAAAGGGAUUAAUCCGUCUGGCUGGGCCCAUCUCUAAAAUUGACAUUUGACGCUCGAGCCAAUGGUUUGCAAGGAACAUGCUAUGCAAAUGGCCAGGAUGACACGAACAAACAGCACUGGCUACCUAACAAUGGCCAGCAAAGUUCUUUGUGAGUUCUGGGCCUUUUAUGAGGCUCCUGCCGGGACCGGAGGAGCCAGACUGCUUGCUGAGGCUGGCAGAGCCGGGCGGCUUCACGGACCCAGCGCAGGCACCCCCAGACCCCCUUGGCGAGGGAGAGCGUCCCACAGCCUCUGGCCUUCGCACCUCUGGCAGGCGCAACCAGCAAGGAGGACUCAAGGUGCCCGAAGGCAGGAAGGUCUCGGCGCUGUCCAUUCAGCACCAUGUCGAGCCGCAGAUACUCCGGCUACCUGGCCGACGAUGAGAGCAUGCGGGGACCUCAGAUGAGGAACCCCAGCCCCAAAAGAAAGGUUUCCGAGUGGAGGAAUGCGCUGAGGCAGCCCUCCCCCCACCCAUUCUGGAAUCCGGAGAUGACAUCCUCGAGGUCCACCACUCCGUCUUUUGGAUCCGAACACCGCAGGAGACACAAGCCCCGUCCCAGCACCAGCAGCGCCGGGGAGAGCCGUAUCCUCGCCGAUGAAUUUUCCGAAUUUGUGGAUUUCCUGGCCGACGAGAACGUCCUGGACAGCCUCCAGCGCAUCAUGGAGGACGCCGUCCGCAAGCUGCGGGAGGUCACCUUGGAGGACGGGCAGCGUCUCUUCAAUGUCCAGGAAGACUCCCGCUCGAGCGCCGAAAGCGAGCCGUGGUCCUUCUCCUACAGCUCCACGCGCUCCCGCUCCAGGUAUCCCACCACCAGCACCACCACCGAUAGCACCUCCAGCUCCGAGGAAGACUGGUUCGCUGGGGCCGCCGCCAAGCAGCCAAGACCCCCGCCCAAAGCCGAAGACAAGGUCUGCCUCUUGGAUAAGUACGCCUCGCGACUCCCCAAGCUGGACAGCAAGAAGGUGGAUCACGUGUCCGGCCGGUUCCAUGCAGAGACAUUUUCAGAGCGAUCAGGGGACGAUUAUUUUUACCGGCAAGAACACCUCCACAUUUGGGCCAAACUGGCCGAGUCUUUUGAGAAGUUCCAACCGCCCAAAAAGGAUUAUUUUUCCAAAUUUAAGAAAGAGCCGCAGGAGUCGCUAUCGGUCGAAUCCCUCCAAAAGGAAAUCACCAAUGUCUUGAAACGCCCGGGCAUCCCGACGUAUUCCCCGGACCAGCAACCUUUCCUAGCUCUGGAUUUCUUGGAAGAACACAAAAUCCUCUCGGCCCUUCAAGACAUUAUCAACCAAGCUGUCCAGAAGGUCCUGCAGGCAACGGGAACGGAUGGGGUUCCUUUGGUGAGCCUUUUCGAUGACGAAGGCCGCCCCGUGGCAUUCUGGGACUCUUCCAUGGAAGAGACUGAUGAGGAAGAGGAGGAAGGAGAAGAAGAAGAAAUGGAAAGGAGUGGCUCAGCAGUUUCUGGGAGUGGAGAAGAUACAUCAGAUGAUUUUUCGGAUGGCAGCAAGUCAGGCGAUGGGAAGAAGAAGAGGAAGAAGAAGGGGAAAAAGAAGAAGAAGAAGAAGGCGGAGACAUCGCCGGUGGAAGACAAGGGCAAAGCCAAAUACACCCCGCCGCCCCUUCUGAAAUCCAGGCGCAAGUCUUUCACGCCUGAAGAAGCUCAACGCAAGCCAAAAUAUGUGCCUCCUCCACUCCCAAAAUCAAAGCCAAGGGCUCCGCAGGGGACGCCUCCACCCAAGCCCAAAUAUGUGCCUCCUCCGCUUCCCAAGCCGAAGCUGAAGAAGAAAGAAUCGGUCCAGAUGGAAGCCGAACCAGCCAAACAGCCUCUUCUGACGAAGCACAUCAUUACCGCCAAGGAUGUCAAGCGGGCCCGCCUCCAGGCCCGCCCCAUUCCCAAGCAAUCUGUCAUCAAUUUCCUGAUUGAAAAUGCGGCCAAGCUGGUCCUGUACAAAUACAACUACGAAACCCUCCUCUGCUCCAAGCUGGGCCUCAUCUCGGUGCCCGUGACCAAAGUGCUGCUGGAGAUCAUGUUCGGCUACAAGCGGAUGAAGGGCAGCGGGAUCCGCCUCUCCUCCCAGAUUGACUGGGCCAAAGUCUACGACGAGAUCUACGCCCCGCGCCCGCCCAGGCCUAAGAUGCCCCGUCGCAAGCUGGCCGACGGGAAGAAAGGCCGGGCCGUGAAGGGCAAAGGCAAAGGCAAGGGCGGCGUGAAGUUGCCGGGAGCCAAGAAGGCCGUCUUUUUCCAACCCGAAAUGGCCGGCGGGAAAGUGGUGGUGAUGGGGACGCCUACCGAGCAAGAGCUGAGCAGCUGGGAUAUACAACUGGGAGAAAGCGCGACCGAGGAAGAAUACGAAGACGAGGAAGGGCCAGAGAUUUUCGAGAUUGUGCCUCCACACUUCCUGGGAGGAGAAACCGACGACUUCUCUGCCGACGAGGCCGACGAGGAUUCCCUGGCCCAGCCCUCCUUCUCCGUCCUGGGGGCCUCCACUCCGAAAGAUAGCCCAGUGAGGUCUGCAGCCUCCGAGGAUGACUCCUUCAAGAUCUCCAGUGCCCCCGAGGAGUCCGAGGGCUCCUCCCUCGCCGUCUCGUCCAAGAAGUCGGGCUCUCGGAAAUUCAGCGUGCCCCCGCCGGCCAGCGCCCGAGGCUCCCAGGCCCUCUUCCCCGAGGUGGAACCGGCCGCUUCAUCGUCCGCCGAAAACGUGCGGAAAAUGUCAUCCCGCAAGUCUACCCUCGGCGGGGAAGGCAGCAAGACGGUGUUCCCGAAAAUCUAAAUCUAAAGCUGCAUAGUAGCCAUAAAUAAAACAUAG